rnacentral:rRNA from 1 species
ACGCAGUCUAUAAGAAGGGAGGCACAGCAUCCUCUCCUCUCAUCACCACAACACAGCCGCUGAGUCCACAGCACUCUUCUCUUCCAUUCAACUCCACGCAAAGUCUCUCUCCCUCAGCUACGUUUGCUUCGUUGCCUUGUGUCGCGUUCGUCUCAUCCCUCCUCGUCUUCCUUCUGACACUCUCAUCUCCUCCAUACCAGAUUCAUUGCCAGGCCCCGACUGAUACACUUCCAAUUUCGCACAUCACAUCAGAUCAGAUCAAAUCGAGCGCUAGGCUGUAAGAUCCAUCCAUGGCUCCUUCACAGCAAGUCGCCGCCACCAAGGAGCCAUCCGCCAACGGCACGGCCGCACCAGCCCCCAAGACCAAGACCCCGGCGCUGAACGAGCGGAUCCUCUCCUCGAUCACGCGCCGGUCGGUGGCGGCGCACCCGUGGCACGACCUGGAGAUCGGCCCGGACGCUCCCACAAUCUUCAACUGCGUGAUCGAGAUCCCCAAGGGGAGCAAGGUCAAGUACGAGCUGGACAAGAAGACGGGGCUCAUCAAGGUGGACCGGGUGCUCUACUCCUCCGUCGUCUACCCGCACAACUACGGCUUCAUCCCGCGCACCCUCUGCGACGACUCCGACCCCAUCGACGUCCUCGUCAUCAUGCAGGAGCCCGUCGUCCCCGGAUGCUUCCUCCGCGCCAAGGCCAUCGGACUCAUGCCCAUGAUCGACCAGGGCGAGGCCGACGACAAGAUCAUCGCCGUCUGCGCCGACGACCCCGAGUACCGCCACUUCAACGACAUCAAGGACCUCCCUCCCCACCGCCUCGCAGAGAUCAGGCGAUUCUUCGAGGACUACAAGAAGAACGAGAACAAGGAGGUUGCCGUCAACGACUUCCUGCCGUCAGAGGACGCCUACGAGGCCAUCCAGCACUCCAUGGAUCUUUAUGCUACUUACAUUGUUGAGGGCCUGAGAAGGUAGAAGGAGGAUGCUGCCUGAUGGAUGCUGGUCUGGUGCUGCCUUGCCACUUGCUGCAGAACGAUGUUGACGAAAAAAUUAUGCCUCAUAAACAUACAUACAAUACAUUCUUGUUUUGUUACAUACAUAUAGUAGUAUAUGAUGAUGGAGCUACACCUCAUCUAAAACAGCCUUGAUCAAGUCAGUAGUAGCCAGAUAAAGAAAGUCACUCCUUUUCCAUCUAGCUUCUGUAAUACGUUUUCCUGGCUGAAUAUGAGAUGUUGGUAUACUGUAUUUUUUUUCCCCCAUUGCUAAUCUCUGCCGAAUCGUUUAUUUCGUC